GUGUACACAAGAUAGAGCUCUCAUCAAGUCUUUAUAAACUUUACAAUUAAAUCCACCUUUAAAAGAUUUUUCAUAAUCUUUAUCCGUUUUAUUCUUAUAAAUGUAACCCACCUCUAUCUUUUAUAUAAGCUGCACCUUUACUUGAAGUAAAUGAACAUAUCAUUAAAGAAAGUUUUCUAAAAAAACUGACUGACAACAGCGGUAUACAAACUGAUUACAAAUAAAAGUAGAGUCUAUCGUGGUUCAUCGUUUAUAGGGCAGGUUCCUCUAAAUGGCUAUCUUGCCGCCAAAUCAGUUAAAUUUCAUUAAUAUUACUAUUCCAAAAUAUUUUAAUUAUAAGUA
rnacentral:rRNA from 1 species